UGUGGGAGCUGUCCUUGGACCAUUGAUGUGUUGCACUGUGGUUGCACUUGGUCUACUCCUCAGAAAACAAUCAAUGUCACGCUCACUGACAUUUCCAUCAUCUGAAGUAUCAGAUCCUGUAGACAUUGCACAGGAUGAAGAGGACACUUGUCAUGUGUAUGAUGAGAUAAUUAUGUACAGCUCCAACAUUCUCCCCCAGGAAGACAGUGACUUGUACUGCACCAUUAGGUUUUGUGAAACCCCACCGGAAAUAGAUGACAAUGCUCUCUACUCCCUCCUGACACUAAAUUAACAAAGACCUCAGUGAGGGUCACAAGUCUUUAAUCAGUAUGAAAAUGUAUGCACUCACUAACUGUAAGUCUCUCGGGAUAAGAGCGUCUGCUAAAUGACUAAAAUGUAAAUGUAAAUGAUAGAGGGCAUUCUCACAACACUGCCAACACAUUGAUGGUGUAUGUACAGUACAGUAUGACCAGUGUUUAGAAGCUUUGGAUUGGCGACCAUUAUUGCUAUUG